rnacentral:rRNA from 1 species
GACGAACGCUGGCGGCGUGCUUAACACAUGCAAGUCGAGCGGAAAGGCCACUUCGGUGGUACUCGAGCGGCGAACGGGUGAGUAACACGUGAGUAAUCUGCCCCUGGCUUUGGGAUAGCCACCGGAAACGGUGAUUAAUACCGGAUACGACCACUCCUCGCAUGGGAUGGUGGUGGAAAGUUUUUUCGGCCAGGGAUGUGCUCGCGGCCUAUCAGCUUGAUGGUGAGGUAAUGGCUCACCAUGGCUUCGACGGGUAGCCGGCCUGAGAGGGUGACCGGUCACACUGGGACUGAGACACGGCCCAGACUCCUACGGGAGGCAGCAGUGGGGAAUAUUGGACAAUGGGCGGAAGCCUGAUCCAGCAACGCCGCGUGAGGGAUGACGGCCUUCGGGUUGUAAACCUCUUUCGCCUAUGACGAAGCGCAAGUGACGGUAAUAGGUAAAGAAGCACCGGCCAACUACGUGCCAGCAGCCGCAGUAA